rnacentral:rRNA from 1 species
AUUGAACGCUGGCGGCAGGCUUAACACAUGCAAGUCGAGCGGGGUGAUGGUGCUUGCACUAUCACUUAGCGGCGGACGGGUGAGUAAUGCUUAGGAAUCUGCCUAUUAGUGGGGGACAACAUCUCGAAAGGGAUGCUAAUACCGCAUACGUCCUACGGGAGAAAGCAGGGGAUCACUUGUGACCUUGCGCUAAUAGAUGAGCCUAAGUCGGAUUAGCUAGUUGGUGGGGUAAAGGCCUACCAAGGCGACGAUCUGUAGCGGGUCUGAGAGGAUGAUCCGCCACACUGGGACUGAGACACGGCCCAGACUCCUACGGGAGGCAGCAGUGGGGAAUAUUGGACAAUGGGGGGAACCCUGAUCCAGCCAUGCCGCGUGUGUGAAGAAGGCCUUAUGGUUGUAAAGCACUUUAAGCGAGGAGGAGGCUCUUUUGGUUAAUACCCAGGAUGAGUGGACCUUACUCGCAGAAUAAGCACCGGCUAACUCUGUGCCAGCAGCCGCCGUAA